CUUGCCAAGCACAUGGCCAAGACUCCAAUAUAGCUAGCCACAGCGCUGCUUGACACUGCCACUGUCCAAAGAGAACGUGUGGACAGAACUGCUUUCAGACUACUUCUGUAAUUGUUUUUCCACAACAAGAAACAGAAACACAAAGCCCAUCUUCAACAAAACUGGGAAAUAUCUGCACCCGGAACCCCACAACGUAGGAAGACAAAGAGCAGGUGGAAAAAUAGCAGCUAAAUUGGCAGAGCAGAGGAAGCCAAAUUUUGUUGGAGAACACCCUUCAAGAAGCAAGACAGCCCGGCCGGUGUGGCUCAGUGUCUGAGCAUCGACCUAUGACCCAGGAGGUCAAGGUUCGAUUCCCAUCAGGGCACCUGCCCCGGUUGCAGGCUAACCCCAUGUCCAGCAUGUGGGAAGAUGAUUCUCUCUCAUCGCUGAUUUCUCUCUCU